rnacentral:rRNA from 1 species
AGAGAGAGACAUGCGCGCAUAUCAAUAAGCGGAGGAAAAGAAACUAACAAGGAUUCCCUUAGUAACGGCGAGUGAAGCGGGAAGAGCUCAAAUUUGAAAUCUUCAAGGUUUUACCUUGACGAAUUGUAGUUUAAAGAAGUGUUUUCUGCUGAAGUUUUGGUAAAAGUUCUUUGGAAUAGGACAUCAUAGAGGGUGAGAAUCCCGUAUUUGACCAUUAUUUUCAGCUUUGUGAUACACUUUCAAAGAGUCGGAUUGUUUGGGAAUGCAGUCCAGAAUGGGUGGUAAAUUUCAUCUAAAGCUAAAUAUUGGCGAGAGACCGAUAGCGAGCAAGUACCGUGAGGGAAAGAUGAAAAGAACUUUGAAGAAGAGAGUUAAACAGUACGUGAAAUUGUCAAAAGGGAAGCGUUUGACACCAGUGUUGUUUUCUCGAAAAUCAAUUAAAAAUGGCUCGAUUUUGUAUUGCUUGAGACCUUAAAAGCUCACUGUACAUUUUUCGUGUCUUUUUUAAUGCACUUUUCGUUUAACAAGUCAACAUCAGUUUCUUUUGUUGUAAAAGGGUCAUUGGAAGGUGGCUUUCUUUUCGGAGAAAGUGUUUAUAGCCUUUGGCCUCUGCAAUCGGAGAGACUGAGGUCUGCAGCGUAGACUCUUCGGGGUUAGAUACAUUUGUGCUAAGUUAUAGCUUUUUAUAGACAACUUGUUGACUAUAAUUAGUCUUGUAGCUUACUCGCUUAUGCUAUUUUACCUACGCUUAGGAUGUUGAAGUCAUCGUAUCGCGC